rnacentral:lncRNA from 1 species
CCUUAGCUUCUUCUCCUCAUCUCUCUGCAUCGUUCUUCUUCUCUACAUCUCUCUACAUAUUUCUUCUUAUUUUCCACCAUGAAUGAACAACAUUAUGAAGAUGAAGGAAGUGGGGUGCAAGGAUCUGAAAGUCAAGAUGAAGAUGAAGUAAAUAAACCUAUAGUUGCAGAAGAUCAAGUGGCUUAUUUAACUUGUGGCAUUUUGCAGAAGUUGUUAUUU